UCACCUGGAUUCACCUGGUCUCACCUGGAGGAACAGCAGAGGCAAGCGGAGGAGGAGAGACACAGAGAAGCAGCCAGACAGACAGAAACGGACGCUGCCAAGAGUCACCUGACUGCUGAAGUUCAGGCGACCAGCUGAAACAGUCCAUGAAGAGGCAAUAUUUCAACCCAACGGACGUGGACUGUCACUAUGGAGAGAUUGAACCUCCAAUGUUGAACACAAUCUUCUACAAGAACAAACCUCGCUACCUCAAACGUACCAG